AUGCAGCGAUUUAGAUUGUUUUCUAUGGUUGAAAAUCUGUGCCUAUUCAUCUUCCACGAUACAAACCUCUUCUUCUCACUCUCAACCAAAAAACGCACCACGAAACACCGUCCAUCACCGAUGACUCUUAACGAAAGAAGAGCGAUAAAGAAAGGAAUAUUGCUUACCUACCGGAGACCGAUUCGGCGCGUCUUCUAUAACAAUGAUUAA